rnacentral:rRNA from 1 species
UACGGAGGAUGCAAGCGUUAUCCGGAAUGAUUGGGCGUAAAGCGUCCGCAGGUGGCAAUGUAAGUCUGCUGUCAAAGCGUCUGGCUCAACCAGAUAAAGGCAGUGGAAACUACAUAGCUAGAGUAAGGUAGGGGUAGAGGGAAUUCCUGGUGUAGCGGUGAAAUGCGUAGAGAUCAGGAGGAAUACCGGUGGCGAAGGCGAGUCUCUGGACAGCAACUGACGCUGAGGCACGAAGGCCAGGGGAGCAAACGGG